UAGGGAAUCUUCCACAAUGGACGAAAGUCUGAUGGAGCAACGCCGCGUGAGUGAAGAAGGGUUUCGGCUCGUAAAACUCUGUUGUUAAAGAAGAACAUAUCUGAGAGUAACUGUUCAGGUAUUGACGGUAUUAACCAGAAAGCCACGGCUAACUACGUGCCA
rnacentral:rRNA from 1 species